rnacentral:ncRNA from 1 species
CGGAGAUAAAAACACGGCCCGGUCGGUAGUCCGGGCGCGGCGGGGCGUCCCACCCGCCGCCAGUAACCUGCCUCCUUGGUUGUCCGUUCUCCGCG